rnacentral:rRNA from 1 species
GUAGGUGGCAAGCGUUGUCCGGAAUUAUUGGGCGUAAAGCGCGCGCAGGUGGGUUCUUUAAGUCUGAUGUGAAAGACCCCCGGGCUCAACCGGGGAGGGUCAUUGGAAACUGGGGAACUUGAGUGCAGGAGAGGAAAGUGGAAUUCCACGUGUAGCGGUGAAAUGCGUAGAUAUGUGGAGGAACACCAGUGGCGAAGGCGACUUUCUGGCCUGUAACUGACACUGAGGCGCGAAAGCGUGGGGAGCAAACAGGAUUAGAUACCCUGGUAGUCCACGCCGUAAACGAUGAGUGCUAAGUGUUGGGGGGUUUCCGCCCCUCAGUGCUGCAGCUAACGCAUUAAGCACUCCGCCUGGGGGGUACGGUCGCAAAGACUG